rnacentral:rRNA from 1 species
AGUGAACGCUGGCGGUAGGCCUAACACAUGCGAGUCGAACGGCAGCACAGUAAGAGCUUGCUCUUACGGGUGGCGAGUGGCGGACGGGUGAGGAAUACAUCGGAAUCUACUUUUUCGUGGGGGAUAACGUAGGGAAACUUACGCUAAUACCGCAUACGACCUACGGGUGAAAGCAGGGGAUCUUCGGACCUUGCGCGAUUGAAUGAGCCGAUGUCGGAUUAGCUAGUUGGCGGGGUAAAGGCCCACCAAGGCGACGAUCCGUAGCUGGUCUGAGAGGAUGAUCAGCCAUACUGGAACUGAGACACGGUCCAGACUCCUACGGGAGGCAGCAGUGGGGAAUAUUGGACAAUGGGCGCAAGCCUGAUCCAGCCAUACCGCGUGGGUGAAGAAGGCCUUCGGGUUGUAAAGCCCUUUUGUUGGGAAAGAAAAGCAGCAGGUUAAUACCCCGCUGUUCUGACGGUACCCAAAGAAUAAGCACCGGCUAACUUCGUG